AUGUAAAGGAAUCUAUCUCAGAUCUGCCAAAACAUUUUGCAUGUAAAUUCUAGCUAGCUAGAUUUGCAUGCAUUUGGAUAUUUUCCAGCCAACUCUAUUUGUUCAACUUUUGUUGUGGAUUAUUAACAUGAGAAUCAUUCAAAAGGCUUUCUGGGAUCAAUGUGAUAAAUGUCAAUCAAGCUUCAUCGUUAACAGGGAGGAGAAAAGAUGAAUCUUUAUAAUUCUUUGUGUUCUUUUAAUUGAUGCGACGAUCGUGCAUGCAAAACUGAUGAAAUUUCACCCCAUAUGAAUGAGAAAUUUUUAAAUGUUCCAGGUACACCACGUGUCUGGUGUACCAUCCAAUAAA